rnacentral:rRNA from 1 species
CAGCCGUAAACAAUGUGCGUUAGGUGUGUCGGUAACCACGUGUUACUGAUGCGCCGAAGAGAAAUCGUGAAACGCACCACCUGGGAAGUACGGUCGCAAGGCUGAAACUUAGAGGAAUUGGCGGGGGAGCACCACAACAGGUGGAGCCUGCGGUUUAAUUGGAUUCAACGCCGGACAUCUCACCGGAUAAGACAGCUGAAUGAUUGUCAAUCUGAAGGUUUUACAUGACUAGCUGAGAGGAGGUGCAUGGCGUCAGUGACU